AGCUUUAUGAGGCACAUCUUGAUUCUCAUUAUGAGAUAAUAAAAGGACUUAGGACUUGGCACUAGGUUGAAAGGAGCAGGCAGAGUUCUCCCUUCAUCAAAGUAAGAAAGCCAGAGCUUCGCUCGGGCAAACUUCCACUCCACAUCUGCGUCUUCCUGUGAAACAAAGGAAUCGGUCACACACCAGAGGCCACAGCUUAACAUCUGAGCAGAGUGUGAAGGGACCAGGUCCACAGUGUUUGAGCAGAUCGCUGGGCAGGACUGGUGUGCUGUGGGCCCCCGGCUGACACCAAUGAGGUCACGUGGAACACAUGCAGGACCAACCAUCUGCAUUUCAGUUAGGGAGGAUGGCUCCGAUCCAGUGUGUAUGAUUGAUCACUGUGAAGUUUGCCUCUGAGCCCUCAUCUAGUCCCAGCUCCUUCAUGCGGGCAUUCUGUCUAUAACAAGAAGGAAGCAGAGAGGCCCAUCUAGCAGACUGUGUUAUGGGCAGUCAAGAAUGCCAGCGUCACCUGAGUGGAGCUCUCUGAAGACCUCAGGAUUCUUGGAGGCAGCAGCCUUAAGUGUUACCAACUCCCAUGAAACCCAUUUCAAACUCGUAUGAUCAAUGUAUGACUGCCUCUUUUAAGAACCUAUCUCACCCUGAGAAAGAGUGCUGAAUUAAAACAGGUCAUACCUUUGUGCAGAA